AAGAAACUUGAAAAUCAAAUGCUUCUGGUGGUAGUUAUGGCAAUAAUGUUAGAGGCAUUGUUAUGUAAAUUAUGAUGCAGCAUCCAUUGAACUGCGUGAGUAUGUUCCAGUUGCUUAAUCAAACUGCUAAAAAAUAAAUAUACAAAUAAGAUUUGACCAAAUAAUGAUGGCUUCACUUGUAAUGUUCUGGGAGGUCCAUUCAGCUUGAUCUUCGUCAAACAAAUUCAGAAAGAAGCCUUUUCCAUUUCUUGUUGACAAUGGCUGGUCCCUUUUGGACUUUUAUGAGUGUUUGUGCCUUCAGGCCUCUACAAUUUAGCAUGUGCAAUGUUUAUUUCUCUCCUUGCCUGAUUUUAUCGUGAACUAAUGCUGAUAGAACUUUUUCUCUAAUACUUUGAAAUGCAGCAAUAUUUAUUGAAGGAGAAAG
rnacentral:misc_RNA from 1 species